UUGAGUUCGAUUAAGAUUUUUUAGUAAGGAUUCAAGGGCUCUCUGAGCUUGAGUAGCGUGUAACUACUAAGGGUCAGCUACUAAGCGGGUAAACUAUGUUUUAAAUUACGUAGCUAGGUCACUGCGGCAAAUAAAAAAAUGGGCCUCACUGCUAUCAAAACUGUUGGAGCAUGAAUUCAAAAGAAAUGAUAUAUACUCAUAAAAAUUUGAAUAACUUGUAAUGUAUGUACAUGAGACCGAAGGAGUGUUUAAUGUUCGCUUUCCUGUCCGUCCAGAAUGUCGAAAGUAUAUUCGUGAGCUAAUUCAGAAAUUUAUCGAGACGGAUAGUGUUGCCAGUAGGUAGAAUCCAGGGCAUAGCAGCUGUCCAGAAAAAAAACAAGUGGAUAUUAUAGCAUUUAUGUGACGAAUGUACUUUUUUUUGGAAUGGUUUGUGGUCUAUGUGGACAAAAUGUCCGUUAUUGGAGCGACGUAAAUCCCCACAUAUUUUAUGAAACACAUACAUAAUACCCAGAAAAAGUAAAUGUGGGCUGGCAUAUUAGGGAAUCACAUUAAUGGACCUCUUAAAAUUUGACAAGGGUUCACGUGUUGCAAAAUGCAGUAAAACCACUGAUCUUUAAGAUUAUUCGAGACAAUCCCUUAGCAAAAUUAAAGACGACUACUUAAAUGGAAAUAAAGAAAAUUAAUAACCAUCGUUACAUAAAUAGCUUUUGUUUUAAAAUAUGUCAAAAAAUCCAUUGUUUUGCACAAUUUAAUUUUUUCUUCCUUUUUAAAAAUAAGCCUGCCUAUUUGCAUAAUACAAUAUCGAAACAAGUUUACUGAGAAUUCAGUUUGAAUUUUCAAUACCUUAUAUUUGCUAAAUAUUUUACACAAAGUAUG